rnacentral:rRNA from 1 species
UACGGGGGGGGCAAGCGUUGUUCGGAAUUACUGGGCGUAAAGGGCUCGUAGGUGGCCAACUAAGUCAGACGUGAAAUCCCUCAGCUUAACUGGGGAACUGCGUCUGAUACUGGAUGGCUUGAGUUUGGGAGAGGGAUGCAGAAUUCCAGGUGUAGCGGUGAAAUGCGUAGAUAUCUGGAGGAACACCGGUGGCGAAGGCGGCAUCCUGGACCAACACUGACACUGAGGAGCGAAAGCCAGGGGAGCAAACGGG